GACGAACGCUGGCGGCGUGCCUAAUACAUGCAAGUAGAACGCUGAAGGAGGAGCUUGCUCUUCUGGAUGAGUUGCGAACGGGUGAGUAACGCGUAGGUAACCUGCCUGGUAGCGGGGGAUAACUAUUGGAAACGAUAGCUAAUACCGCAUAACAGUAGAUGUUGCAUGACAUUUGCUUAAAAGGUGCAAUUGCACCACUACCAGAUGGACCUGCGUUGUAUUAGCUAGUUGGUGGGGUAACGGCUCACCAAGGCGACGAUACAUAGCCGACCUGAGAGGGUGAUCGGCCACACUGGGACUGAGACACGGCCCAGACUCCUACGGGAGGCAGCAGUAGGGAAUCUUCGGCAAUGGACGGAAGUCUGACCGAGCAACGCCGCGCGAGUGAAGAAGGGUUUCGGAUCGUAAAGCUCUGUUGUAAGAGAAGAACGAGUGUGAGAGUGGAAAGUUCACACUGUGACGGUAGCUUACCAGAAAGGGACGGCUAACUACGUG
rnacentral:rRNA from 1 species